rnacentral:rRNA from 1 species
CCUACGGGUGGCAGCAGUGAGGAAUAUUGGUCAAUGGACGAGAGUCUGAACCAGCCAAGUAGCGUGAAGGAUGACUGCCCUAUGGGUUGUAAACUUCUUUUAUAAAGGAAUAAAACGAGGCACGUGUGCCUUUUUGCAUGUACUUUAUGAAUAAGGAUAGGCUAACUCCGUGCCAGCAGCCGCGGUAAUACGGAGGAGCCGAGCGUUAUCCGGAUUUAUUGGGUUUAAAGGGAGCGUAGAUGGGUUGUUAAGUCAGUUGUGAAAGUUUGCGGCUCAACCGUAAAAUUGCAAUUGAUACUGGCAGUCGUGAGUACAGUUGAGGUAAGCGGAAUUCGUGGUGUAGCGGUGAAAUGCUUAGAUAUCACGAAGAACCCCGAUUGCGAAGGCAGCUUACUAAACUGCGACUGACAUUGAUGCUCGAAAGUGUGGGUAUCAAACAGGAUUAGAUACCCGAGUAGUC